rnacentral:tRNA from 1 species
UGGUGUGGCUCAAUGGCAGAGCAGCUGAUUUGUAAUCAGCAGGUUGAUGGUUCGAUUCCGUUCACC